CCUACGGGUGGCUGCAGUGGGGAAUAUUGGUCAAUGGGCGCAAGCCUGACCCAGCAACGCCGCGUGAAGGCAGAAGGCCUUCUGGUUGUAAACUUCUUUUAAGAGGGAAGAGCAGAAGACGGUACCUCUUGAUCAAGCCACGGCCACCUACGUGCCAUCAGCCGCGUCAAUACGUAGGUGGCAAGCGAUGACCGGAUUUACUGGGUGUAAAGGCUGUGUAGCCGGGAAGACAAGUCAGAUGGGAAAUCCCGCGGCUCAAACGCGGAACUGCAUUUGAAACUGUUUUUCUUGAGUACCGGAGAGGUGAGCGGAAUUCGUGGUGUAGCGGUGAAAUGCAUAGAUAUAAGGAAGAACACCAGUGGCGAAGGCAGAAGACUGGACGGCAACUGACGGUGAGGCACGAAAGCGUGGGGAGCGAACAGGAUUAGAUACCCGGGUAGUC
rnacentral:rRNA from 1 species